rnacentral:rRNA from 1 species
AGCGAACGCUAGCGGCGGGCCUAACACAUGCAAGUCGAGCGCAUACCUUCGGGUAUGAGCGGCGGACGGGUGAGUAACGCGUAGGUCAUCUACCCUUUGGUGGGGGAUAACCCAGGGAAACUUGGGCUAAUACCGCACGAGGUCUACGGAUCAAAGCCUUCGGGCGCCAGAGGAUGAGCCUGCGUCGCAUUACCUAGUUGGCGGGGUAACGGCCCACCAAGGGGACGAUGCGUAGCUGGUCUGAGAGGAUGAUCAGCCACACUGGGGCUGAGACACGGCCCAGACUCCUACGGGAGGCAGCAGUGGGGGAAUUUUUGGACAAUGGGGGCGAACCCUGAUCCAGCCAUGCCGCGUGAGUGAAGAAGGCC